UACGGAUGGUGCAAGCAUUAAUCGGAUUUAUUGGGCGUAAAGGGCGCGUAGGCGGGAAAGUAAGUCAGACGUGAAAUCCCGGGGCUCAACCCCGGAACAGCAUUUGAAACUGCUUUUCUUGAGGAUAGGAGGAGAAAACGGAAUUCCACAUGUAGCGGUGAAAUGCGUAGAUAUGUGGAAGAACACCUGUGGCGAAGGCGGUUUUCUAUCUUAUACCUGACGCUAAAGCGCGAAAGCAAGGGGAUCAAACAGG
rnacentral:rRNA from 1 species